AUGGCCUUGCUCCUCUUCACUCUCCGCACUUCGCACCCAUCCCACCUCCAGGUCAGAUCUCGCCGCCCACCACGGCCGCGCACAAUGGGCUCUGCACAUUCGUCCCACUCCUCCAUCUCUACCGCGGCCGACGAAGGCGACGAUGAUCCAUCGACUGCCUCAGCCUCGGAGCCCUCGGCCCGGCCCCCUCCCGCCCAAGCGCCGGCUCCACCGGCCUCUGCGUCCAAGGUGCUGGAGCAGGAGCCCGAGGUGCUACCCUGCCGAGCCGCCGACUCGCCGCUCUCGCCGCAACCAUCCGUAACGGGCACCCCACGCCUCCUCGGCCCCAACAUCAAGGUCUGGGACCCCUGCCACGUGCUCCUUCCCCCACCGUCGCUGCACCAGCACCUCCCGCAGCAGGGGAGGACGGAGGCGCUGCUGGAGGUGGUAAUAGUUAGCCACGGGGAAUGUGCGUUCGCGAUGCGACCCGACCUGGUUGGUGGGCGAUGGCCGGCAGUGGCCCUCACGGCGCGCGGGGAGCGACAGGCGCGCGCUCUGUCAGUGUUCCUGCGCUCCCGUGGUUCGCAGCUGGCCGCUGCGUGGACGUCGCCCCUCGACCGUUCCCGCGCUACUGCUGAACUUGUCUGCCGGGAACUUGAUUUUCCAGAGGAGCAGAUCCAAGUAUCUGAUGCUUUGACUGAGAUGAGUCAUGGUCAGUGGGAGGGUUGCCCAAAAUCAGAAAUUUAUACCCCAGAAAUGGUUAAUCUGAUGGACAGCACCCAGCCUGAUUUCUCAGCACCUUCAGGAGAGUCACUCAGGCAGGUGCAGUUCAGGAUGAUGGAGUUCCUGAACCGAACAAUCAUAAGGUUACCAGAAAAGGUGGCAAUGGGGGAUACACUAUCACAACAAAAUGACGCAAAGGGUUUAUCUCGGCAGAGCUCCACCAAUUCUGUCCAAGAUGGCCCAUCUUGGGAUUUGCUUUACAGGCUCAAUCGGCAUAGCCUCCAAAGGAAGAAAUCUGGUAAAAGCCGUCUCCAGUUUGUCACUUCGGUUGACAAUGAUACCGAGGAUGAGUUCUCCCUGAAAGACAUAAACCAAAGGCAUCGCCUUCACGAAACAAGUCUGGGGAGCUCUACAACCUCCAUUGCAAUUUUCAGCCAUGCAAUCCCUAUUCGAUGUCUCCUUGCGGGCUUGUUGGACUGCAACCCUGUGAUGUCUCAGAGGAUAUGUAUAGACGAUUCAUCUGUCACUGUUCUUGAACAUUCGCUUAGAACCGGGUGGCGAAUAAAGAGGCUAAAUGAUACUGGGCAUCUCAGGCUUCUCUAG
rnacentral:rRNA from 1 species